GAGUUUGAUCCUGGCUCAGGACGAACGCUGGCGGCGUGCCUAAUACAUGCAAGUCGAGCGAAUGAUGAAGAAGCUUGCUUCUUCUGAUUUAGCGGCGGACGGGUGAGUAACACGUGGGCAACCUACCUAGUAGAUUGGGAUAACUCCGGGAAACCGGGGCUAAUACCGAAUAAUCCAUUUUGUCACAUGGCAAAAUGCUGAAAGGCGGUUUCGGCUGUCACUACUAGAUGGGCCCGCGGUGCAUUAGCUAGUUGGUGGGGUAAUGGCCUACCAAGGCAACGAUGCAUAGCCGACCUGAGAGGGUGAUCGGCCACAUUGGGACUGAGACACGGCCCAAACUCCUACGGGAGGCAGCAGUAGGGAAUCUUCCACAAUGGACGAAAGUCUGAUGGAGCAACGCCGCGUGAGUGAUGAAGGUUUUCGGAUCGUAAAACUCUGUUGUAAGGGAAGAACAAGUACGUUAGUAACUGAACGUACCUUGACGGUACCUUAUUAGAAAGCCACGGCUAACUACGUGCCAGCAGCCGCGGUAAUACGUAGGUGGCAAGCGUUGUCCGGAUUUAUUGGGCGUAAAGCGCGCGCAGGUGGUUUCUUAAGUCUGAUGUGAAAGCCCACGGCUCAACCGUGGAGGGUCAUUGGAAACUGGGAGACUUGAGUGCAGAAGAGGAAAGUGGAAUUCCAAGUGUAGCGGUGAAAUGCGUAGAGAUUUGGAGGAACACCAGUGGCGAA
rnacentral:rRNA from 1 species